GGAGGGCAAGUCUGGUGCCAGCAGCCGCGGUAAUUCCAGCUCCAAUAGCGUAUAUUAAAGUUGUUGCAGUUAAAAAGCUCGUAGUUGAAUUUCGGGGUCAGUAGGUCGGUCGUGCCACUGGUAUGAACUGGUUUUACUGAUUCCUCCCUCUUGAAGAACUGUAAUGCCAUUAAUUUGGUGUUGCAGGGAAUCAGGACUGUUACUUUGAAAAAAUUAGAGUGUUUAAAGCAGGCUUUAGCUUGAAUACAUUAGCAUGGAAUAAUGAAAUAGGACGUUUGAUCCUAUUUUGUUGGUUUCUAGGAUUGACGUAAUGAUUAAUAGGGAUAGUUGGGGGCAUUAGUAUUCAAUUGUCAGAGGUGAAAUUCUUGGAUUUAUUGAAGACUAACUACUGCGAAAGCAUUUGCCAAGGAUGUUUUCAUUAAUCAAGAACGAAAGUUAGGGGAUCGAAGACGAUCAGAUACCGUCGUAGUCUUAACCAUAAACUAUGCCGACUAGGGAUCGGAUGAUGUUAAUUUUUUAAUGACUCAUUCGGCGCCUUACGGGAAAC
rnacentral:rRNA from 1 species